GAUUGGUAAUGGGACUGGUGGAUAGGGGAAGGGUUUGUAAUGGGACUGGUGGAUAGGGGAAGGGUUGGUAAUGGGACUGGUGGAUAGGGGAAGAGUUGGUAAUGGGACUGGUGGAUAGGGGAAGGGUUGGUAAUGGGACUGGUGGAUAGGGGAAGGAUUGGUAAUGGGACUGGUGGAUAGGGGAAGGGUUGGUAAUGGGACUGGUGGAUAGCGGAAGGAUUGGUAAUGGGACUGGUGGAUAGUGGAAGGGUUGGUAAUGGGACAGGUGGAUAGGGGAAGGAUUGGUAAUGAGACUGGUGGAUAGGGGAAGGAUUGGUAAUGGGACAGGUGGAUAGGGGAAGGAUUGGUAAUGGGACUGGUGGAUAGGGGAAGGGUUGGUAAUGGGACAGGUGGAUAGGGGAAGGAUUGGUAAUGGGACUGGUGGAUAAGGGAAGGGUUGGUAAUGGGACAGGUGGAUAUGGGAAGGAUUGGUAAUGGGACUGGUGGAUAGGGGAAGGUUUGGUAAUGGGACUGGUGGAUAGGGGAAGGAUUGGUAAUGGGACUGGUGGAUAGGGGAAGGGUUGGUAAUGGGACUGGUGGAUAGGGGAAGGGUUGGUAAUGGGACUGGUGGAUAGGGGAAGGGUUGGUAAUGGGACUGGUGGAUAGGGGAAGGAUUGGUAAUGGGACUGGUGGAUAGGGGAAGGGUUGGUAAUGGGACUGGUGGAUAGGGGAAGGGUUGGUAAUGGGACUGGUGGAUAGGGGAAGGAUUGGUAAUGGGACUGGUGGAUAGGGGAAGGGUUGGUAAUGGGACUGGUGGAUAGGGGAAGGAUUGGUAAUGGGACUGGUGGAUAGGGGAAGGGUUGGUAAUGGGACUGGUGGAUAGGGGAAGGAUUGGUAAUGGGACUGGUGGAUAGGGGAAGGGUUGGUAAUGGGACAGGUGGAUAGGGGAAGGAUUGGUAAUGGGACAGGUGGAUAGGGGAAGGAUUGGUAAUGGGACAGGUGGAUAGGGGAAGGGUUGGUAAUG